GACGAACGCUGGCGGCGUGCCUAAUACAUGCAAGUUGAGCGAUGAAGAUUGGUGCUUGCACCAAUUUGAAGAGCAGCGAACGGGUGAGUAACGCGUGGGGAAUCUGCCUUUGAGCGGGGGACAACAUUUGGAAACGAAUGCUAAUACCGCAUAACAACUUUAAACGUAAGUUUUAAGUUUGAAAGAUGCAAUUGCAUCACUCAAAGAUGAUCCCGCGUUGUAUUAGCUAGUUGGUGAGGUAAAGGCUCACCAAGGCGAUGAUACAUAGCCGACCUGAGAGGGUGAUCGGCCACAUUGGGACUGAGACACGGCCCAAACGCCUACGGGAGGCAGCAGUAGGGAAUCUUCGGCAAUGGACGAAAGUCUGACCGAGCAACGCCGCGUGAGUGAAGAAGGUUUUCGGAUCGUAAAACUCUGUUGGUAGAGAAGAACGUUGGUGAGAGUGGAAAGCUCAUCAAGUGACGGUAACUACCCAGAAAGGGACGGCUAACUACGUG
rnacentral:rRNA from 1 species